rnacentral:rRNA from 1 species
GAUGAACGCUGGCGGCGUGCCUAAUACAUGCAAGUCGAGCGAACGGACGAUAAGCGUGCUUCUCUGAUGGUAGCGGCGGACGGGUGAGUAACAAGUGGAUAACCUACCUAUAAUACUGGGAUAACUUCGGGAAACCGGAGCUAAUACCGGAUGAUACUUUGAACGGCAGGGAUCAAAAGUGAAAGACGGUUUUGCUGUUAGUUAUAGAUGGAGCCGCGCUGCAUUAGCUAGUUGGUAAGGUAACGGCUUACCAAGGCAACGAUGCAUAGCCGACCUGAGAGGGUGAUCGGCCACACUGGAACUGAGACACGGUCCAGACUCCUACGGGAGGCAGCAGUAGGGAAUAUUCCGCAAUGGGCGAAAGCCUGACGGAGCAACGCCGCGUGAGUGAUGAAGGUCUUCGGAUCGUAAAACUCUGUUAUUAGGGAAGAACAUAUGUGUAAGUAACUGUGCACAUCUUGACGGUACCUAAUCAGAAAGCCACGGCUAACUACGUG